AAUAAUAUAUACGUAUUUGUUUUUAAAUAAAGGAAAAUUUGCAUCAAAGGAUUUAUAAAUACACUUGUUUGCAAGGAAGGACCUUGUAAAUCGAAAGUGGAAUAGAAGGACCUUUUAAAUGUUUUUGGUUGCGGCGGGGGACCUUGACGUCGGAAAGUGGGAAAUGACCAAAUUAGUCCGCCUUUGACUUGGGGUGCCACCUUACUUAAUAUAUUUGUAUUUUAAUUUUUUUCUGUAUUUUCCCACGUAUACCUCCCUUCUUUUCAUAACUCUUAAUUUUUUUCCCCCAAAUAUUAUUCUCUCCCCUCUGUUUUGUGUACCCCUCUCACAAUUUAGACAUACUUCAACGAAUGGAUAAAGUUAGCUUCUUUUCUCAAAUUUUCAAUGAUUGAAUGAAUUAAUUAAUGAAGUUUGACAAAUUUGGCAUAUGCAAUAAACCUGAUACUAUAAAUAGAAAUUCCAACCUGAACAUACUUUAUGUGUAUAACCACAAGAACAAAAACAAUGUUCAUCCAAUAUUCCUCAUUUCCUUGUAAGGUAGGAGCAAUAUAAUUGUAGCAAAUUACAUAAAGCUGACUUGUUCACAGAAAUACCAAAGUGUAAGAAAAAGUGGAUUACAUAGACUUAACUACUACAUAAAGUGACUACAUAAAAUGAAAUUUAACGUACGUUGUUCAAUGGUGAGACAAACAACUCUGCUGAGAUGCUUGUGAGGAUUGGUCAGCAUAAACAGAAGUUGUAAUUUGAUUCUUUAUUUUCUGCUUUGGUGCAAUUGCUUUAGACUUGCCCUUUUUGGAAGUAGAAGUUGUUGAUGGUGCAGUAGGUUGGGUGUUGACCUUCCAAGAAGUACCCCCCUCCUAUCAUAAGUGUAGAUGAACUUGAUUGCCUUCUUCAUGCAGCUGCUGCUGGUACAGGAUUUAUAGGAGUUGCUGAUGUUGUGGUUGGGACAGUUUGUGAGGAUGAAGCUGCACCACCAUCCUUCCUUGGUCUACCACCUUUGUGUAUUGGGCCCUUUUGUUUGAUUAGACUGUUACAUUGUCUUAUAAUGACCCAAACCACCAAAUCUUUGACAAGUGUUCUGUUUCCUUAGCCCUAUUAACAUACUUGUCUUUCCCUUCUCCUGCUUCUUUCCUUCUUUUCUUUUGUGAUGGUCUUCCAGGCAUCACUUUAAAGGGAGGUGGUAAAGGUUCAGGCAAAAGUGACUUGUCCCAUUGCUUCUCUCCUGGCAUGGCAUGGAAGGCUGGUGAAUAUGUUGCUGAGUAGGUUGCAACAUGGUAAGCUCGGUGGACAUUGUCUUCAUAAUUAAGUCUUCUUUUGGCAAUACAAGCCAAUGCAUGCCAAGAAGCGAUCCCCAUCAAAGUCGACCUAUAACACCCACAAGUUUUAAUCUCUAAGUUCACCACAUAGCUGUCUCCUUCUUAGUCUACCUCAAAUUCAUGUUUGUGUGGAGUGUAGAGCUUUGAUGGGAUUGGAAAGGACUACAUCUAGUGAUUGUGACCCACUUGAUGAAUCAGUAUAAGUGAGUCAGAACACACUAAACAACCCAAAAAUGUAGACCCUUCCCCAGAAUCUGUAUAUCUGUACCCUCCAACCUUAUCUGGACCACACAUCAUCCUCUUAUUAUCUACCACUCUUUCCUCAUGCUCCAAAUACAUGUUGUACCAACCAUCAUCCUCUGUAGAAAACAAAAAAUUAACUAUAUCAAUAUCAUCUUUGAGCUGCUACCUACCAUUAAACAAGCUUUGAACAUCUUUACUAAACCAAAGCUGCCCCAUAACAUAGUAUCCUACCUCCUUAACCCAAUCAACAAAGUCAAAGUAGCAUACCUCUUCAACAUUAGGUUGCAAUGAUAGUCCAUAAUAUUCACUAUUACUGUGUUCGUAAGUGGUGUAGCCCUUCCUAGUCACAAACUGACCACCAUAAUAGAGUCUUAUGUUAUUGGAUCCAUAACUUUAUACAGUUUAUAAUGAUAAUUAAACCUGAAUUAAGAUACAAAAUAAAAACAACUAAUUACAAAGUGCAUAAUUUAUUCAGCAAUCAAUCCUAUGACAAUGUAAUUAAAAAAUAUUUGAAGACCCACCCACUAACAACACAUGCACGCACAAUGCAACUACACAAAUUAAGAAAAAGAAAAAACAAAUAAAUCAAAACCAAUUCCCAACAUCAUCACUUCAUUUAUUCAAUUAAUUAAGUACUUAAAUGAAUAAAUUAAUGUAUUAAAGAUGGAUGAAUCACUACAUUUAACAAAUUUUAAAAAUCAAAUCAAACCCCAAAUUUCUGCAAUUUCGAAUUCAGGAAGUGUAAAAAAUUAAGCUUUAUUACCUAGUUUUCAUGACCUUAUUUAUGGUUUAUCCAAAUUCUUUAACAAUUUUUUCCCUUUCUUUGUAUGCGCCAUGGGAGAACAACUUCAAAGGGUUGACCGUGUACAAAAAAGUAAAAGAAAAAAACAACACGAGAGAGAUAAUAAUAUGCGUACUGUACCUCACCAAGUAAAGUCACCAUCUCCUUUCAGUGGAAUCCAAUCUGCAGAAGGGGGAAGUUGGGGGAGUAAGUAAUUCAAUUUGAAUUUCAUUCUUGGAAUCAAUUUCACAACACAGAGGAGAGAGAAUAAAAUGAAAUUUGGGGGAAUAAUUGAAGGGGAAGAAGGGAGGUAUACGAUGGAAAAUUGAGACCACAAAAAAAAAAAAAAAAAAAUUGUCACGCGCCACCCCAGGUCAACGCCGGACUAAUUUGGUCAAUUCCAUUUUUCCGACGUCGCAACCAAGAAUGUUUAUAUUAUGGUUAGUCCUUUGAUUGAAUUAUCAAGUUCAUACUAUAGGGAGCUAUUUCAAGAUAGUUGUAACAAUUAUUGUCAUUAGUUUUCUCUGAAUACUUGAUCAUUGUCAAACAAGGUUUAAUUUCAUUGUACUUGCAACAAAUAUUCUAAUUAUUUUUUUUGCUUAUAAUGAGAGAGGUAUGCUUGAUCACGGUCAUACAUGGUUCACCGUUAGGAUUGAUGAUGAGAAGAAGGAUGUUUUGGUAAGCAUUUAAAUUUUAUUAACAGGUUUUGUGUAAUGUGUAAUCAACUGUAAUUGAAAUUAUAAUUUUAACAAAAUUUUAAUAAAAAUUCUUUUUAGUGUGUUCCACAUCAAGUAAGUAAAUUAUUUCGCAAAAGUAAUGAUGUUGUUAAAGUACAAAGAGGCAGUGGUACAAGGAUUUACGAAGUUUAGUGGAUGGUGGUUAGAGAUAUAUCACGGGUAAAUGUAUAUUUUGAGGAGGGAUGGCAUGAUUUCGUCGAGGACAAUGGCAUAGAGAUUGGUGAUAGACUCGACUUGUUGUAUCUGGGUGAUAGGUUAUUCAAGGUAGUCAUAUGGCGUGAUGGCAUUGAUAUCACUCGUAACUGUAUAGUGAUAUCGUCUAAUUCUUCCUAUUGGAGUGAUUCGAGUGACAGUGAUGAUGAAAUCGCGAACGACCGUAUUCAAUAAUUUCUCAAGAACCUCGUUGUCUCAAGUUACCUGAGUUCGAAGACACUUUCACAAAGGCGUAUAGUGCAGUUGGUAUGAUGAAUGUACCACUUGAAUUUGCUAGACGACACUUCAAUCGGUUUGGUGCCUCCAAACCAGCUGAACUAUGGGUCACUAAAAAUAAAAAAUGGAGGGGAACUCUUUUCUUAAAACGAGGGUCCAAACAACAAAUUAUCUUAAGCAACAUCAAAAAAGAAGUUAAGGAAAUGAUCCGUGGUGAGAAUAUCAAGGUCGGUCAAAAAGUCAUUGUCCAGUUGCAACGUACGGCUCCCUUAGUCUUUAAGGUGUCUAGACUUUAAGCCAAAUUGAAUUAAGACUGGUAUAUUUAAGUUGUCCACUUAGCUAUGAGUCCUAUGACGAAUUGCAGACUAUGUUUGUUUACUUUACUGUAGACUAUGGUUUUUUGUUGGUUAUGUCGUAAGGGUAGUACUUUAUUCUGGGAUCGCUUAACGUGGAGUAAUGAUGUUUUGGGUAAAUGGUUAUAUGGUCUCAUUUAAGUGUCUUUAUUAGUGUCUGAUCUUUUGUGUUUUGAUCCUGGUGUGACAUAAGGUUGGGUGUAUGAUCCAUGAAGCUCUGUUUUUAAGCAUACAAACAUUUAAUGUAUGCUAUGGCAUGUCUAAAAAAAUGUUUGUAUUAGACAAUGAAACUUUUGGACACCUCUUAUAUUA